UACGAAGGGGGCGAGCGUUGUUCGGAAUUACUGGGCGUAAAGGGCUCGUAGGCGGCCAACUAAGUCCGACGUGAAAUCCCCAGGCUUAACCUGGGAACUGCGUCGGAUACUGGAUGGCUUGAAUUCGGGAGAGGGAUGCAGAAUUCCAGGUGUAGCGGUGAAAUGCGUAGAUAUCUGGAGGAAUACCGGUGGCGAAGGCGGCGUCCUGGACCGACAUUGACGCUGAGGAGCGAAAGCUAGGGGAGCAAACGGG
rnacentral:rRNA from 1 species